CAAACUGAAGAUGGCGACCGGCGCACGGGUGAGUAACACGUAUCCAACCUGCCGAUAACUCGGGGAUAGCCCUUCGAAAGAAAGAUUAAUACCCGAUGGCAUAGUUCUUCCGCAUGGUGGAACUAUUAAAGAAUUUCGGUCAUCGAUGGGGAUGCGUUCCAUUAGGUUGUUGGCGGGGUAACGGCCCACCAAGCCUUCGAUGGAUAGGGGUUCUGAGAGGAAGGUCCCCCACAUUGGAACUGAGACACGGUCCAAACUCCUACGGGAGGCAGCAUG
rnacentral:rRNA from 1 species